AAGAGACAGCAGCAGCCGCGGUAAUACGAAGGGGGCUAGCGUUGUUCGGAAUUACUGGGCGUAAAGCGCACGUAGGCGGACAUUUAAGUCAGGGGUGAAAUCCCGGGGCUCAACCCCGGAACUGCCUUUGAUACUGGGUGUCUAGAGUAUGGAAGAGGUGAGUGGAAUUCCGAGUGUAGAGGUGAAAUUCGUAGAUAUUCGGAGGAACACCAGUGGCGAAGGCGGCUCACUGGUCCAUUACUGACGCUGAGGUGCGAAAGCGUGGGGAGCAAACAGGAUUAGAUACCCCAGUAGUCCCUGUCUCUUAUAC
rnacentral:rRNA from 1 species